GCCGUACUUAGCCCAAACAAAUAAAAUACAACUAUAAAUUAAACCUAAAUUAAAACAUUUACUACACAUAAUAGUAUAGGAGAUAGAAAUUUUUACACAGGCGCUAUAGAGAAAGUACCGCAAGGGAACAAUAGAAAGAAUUUACCAAAGCAACAAAUAGCAAAGCUUACCCCUUGUACCUUUUGCAUAAUGAUUUAACUAGACAUAAUUUAGCAAAGAGAACUUAAGUUAAUAUCCCCGAAACCAGACGAGCUACUUAUAAGCAGCUUCAUAGAGCAAACUCAUCUAUGUGGCAAAAUAGUGAGAAGACUCAUAAGUAGAGGUGAAAAGCCUAUCGAGCCUGGUGAUAGCUGGUUGUCCAGUAAAGAAUUUUAGUUCAAACUUAAAUCUGCCUACAAAAAUAUUAAUUUUACUGUAGAUUUAAAAUAUAAUCUAAAGGGGGACAGCCCUUUAGAUACAGGUUAAAACCUUAACUAGAGAGUAAGUAUAUAAGUAUACCAUAGUGGGCCUAAAAGCAGCCAUCAAUAGAGAAAGCGUUCAAGCUCAACAACAUAACUAUUUAAAUCCCUAUAAUCAAUACCAACUCCUAGCAUUAAAACUGGACUACUCUAUAUUUAUAUAGAAGAACUACUGUUAAUAUUAGUAACAAGAAUUUAAUUCUCCUAGCACAAGUGUAUAUCAGAACGAAUAAUCACUGAUAGUUAACGAAUAUAAAGCAAACUUACCAACAAGCCCUUUAUCUACUUACGUUAAUCCAACACAGGAGUGCUUCAAGGAAAGAUUAAAAGGAGUAAAAGGAACUCGGCAAACAUAAACCCCGCCUGUUUACCAAAAACAUCACCUCUAGCAUAACCAGUAUUAGAGGCACUGCCUGCCCAGUGACAUAAGUUCACGGCCGCGGUAUCCUGACCGUGCAAAGGUAGCAUAAUCACUUGUUCUCUAAAUAAGGACUCGUAUGAAUGGCCACACGAGGGUUUUACUGUCUCUUUCUCCUAAUCAGUGAAAUUGACCUUCCCGUGAAGAGGCGGGAAUAUAUCAAUAAGACGAGAAGACCCUAUGGAGCUUUAAUUAACUAGCCUAAGAGCAAAACAAUAUACACCAAAAGGAAUAAAACAAUACUAUUACUAGGCUAAUAAUUUAGGUUGGGGUGACCUCGGAGUACAAAAAAUCCCCCGAGCAAUUUUAACUUAGACUUACCAGUCAAAGUAUAAUUACUUAAUUGAUCCAUAUUCUAAUGAUCAACGGAACAAGUUACCCUAGGGAUAACAGCGCAAUCCUAUUCAAGAGUUCCUAUCGACAAUAGGGUUUACGACCUCGAUGUUGGAUCAGGACAUCCUGAUGGUGCAGCAGCUAUCAACGGUUCGUUUGUUCAACKAUUAAAGUCCUACGUGAUCUGAGUUCAGACCGGAGUAAUCCAGGUCGGUUUCUAUCUAUUUUAUGUUCCUCCCAGUACGAAAGGACAAGAGGAACAGGGCCUCCUUAAAAAUAAGCGCCCUCCUAACAAACCAGAUGAUCUAAUCUCAAUCUGUUAUGCAAUAAAAAACACUGCCCAAGACCAGGGCUCA
rnacentral:rRNA from 1 species